AGCAUUCUCCACUGUGGUGAUCCU
rnacentral:siRNA from 1 species